UCGUUUGUUUCUGUGCUGCAGGGCGGCCCACCAUCUUUUCCAGGAGUCAGGGGUGUGCGUGUGAUGUUGGGACCAUCCAGUCUUUGUGGCUGCUUCCUGUGUCAAUUCACAACCAUUUAUAUGAAUGCAAUGGAUUUAAAGAGAAGGAAACUGUAAAACAAAAGCAUGGGUUUACUUGGCCAAGAAACGGAUGAGAAAGAGAGGGAAGACAUUACUGAACUGCAAAGCUCUGACUCAUCACUGCGAGUUAAACUCAAAAGCUUACCUCUCAGGCGAAUCGUCUUGCUGAUGCACAUUAUUCUCCACCAGGCUCCGACUGAGA